UACGUAGGGUGCGAGCGUUAAUCGGAAUUACUGGGCGUAAAGCGUGCGCAGGCGGUUUUGGAAGUCUGACGUGAAAUCCCCGGGCUCAACCUGGGAAUUGCGUUGGAGACUGCAAGGCUGGAGUCUGGCAGAGGGGGGUAGAAUUCCACGUGUAGCAGUGAAAUGCGUAGAGAUGUGGAGGAAUACCGAUGGCGAAGGCAGCCCCCUGGGCUAACACUGACGCUCAUGCACGAAAGCGUGGGGAGCAAACAGG
rnacentral:rRNA from 1 species